CCAGAGCCUGAAUCAGUGUGUGUGUUAGUGGAAGCGUCUGGAAAGGCGCGCGAUACAGGGUGACAGCCCCGUACACAAAAAUGCACAUGCUGUGAGCUCGAUGAGUAGGGCGGGACACGUGGUAUCCUGUCUGAAUAUGGGGGGACCAUCCUCCAAGGCUAAAUACUCCUGACUGACCGAUAGUGAACCAGUACCGUGAGGGAAAGGCGAAAAGAACCCCGGCGAGGGGAGUGAAAAAGAACCUGAAACCGUGUACGUACAAGCAGUGGGAGCACAGAGCAAUCUGUGUGACUGCGUACCUUUUGUAUAAUGGGUCAGCGACUUAUAUUCUGUAGCAAGGUUAACCGAAUAGGGGAGCCGAAGGGAAACCGAGUCUUAACCGGGCGUUAAGUUGCAGGGUAUAGACCCGAAACCCGGUGAUCUAGCCAUGGGCAGGUUGAAGGUUGGGUAACACUAACUGGAGGACCGAACCGACUAAUGUUGAAAAAUUAGCGGAUGACUUGUGGCUGGGGGUGAAAGGCCAAUCAAACCGGGAGAUAGCUGGUUCUCCCCGAAAGCUAUUUAGGUAGCGCCUCGUGAAUUCAUCUCCGGGGGUAGAGCACUGUUUCGGCAAGGGGGUCAUCCCGACUUACCAACCCGAUGCAAACUGCGAAUACCGGAGAAUGUUAUCACGGGAGACACACGGCGGGUGCUAACGUCCGUCGUGAAGAGGGAAACAACCCAGACCGCCAGCUAAGGUCCCAAAGUCAUGGUUAAGUGGGAAACGAUGUGGGAAGGCCCAGACAGCCAGGAUGUUGGCUUAGAAGCAGCCAUCAUUUAAAGAAAGCGUAAUAGCUCACUGGUCGAGUCGGCCUGCGCGGAAGAUGUAACGGGGCUAAACCAUGCACCGAAGCUGCGGCAGCGACACUGUGUGUUGUUGGGUAGGGGAGCGU
rnacentral:rRNA from 1 species